CCUACGGGAGGCAGCAGUAAGGAAUAUUGGUCAAUGGACGCAAGUCUGAACCAGCCAUGCCGCGUGAAGGAUUAAGGCCCUCUGGGUUGUAAACUUCUUUUAUAGGGGACGAAAAAAGGGCAUUCUUGCUCACUUGACGGUACCCUAGGAAUAAGCACCGGCUAACUCCGUGCCAGCAGCCGCGGUAAUACGGAGGGUGCAAGCGUUAUCCGGAUUUACUGGGUUUAAAGGGUGCGUAGGUGGGUUGGUAAGUCAGUGGUGAAAUCUUCGAGCUUAACUCGGAAACUGCCAUUGAUACUAUCAAUCUUGAAUCAUCUAGAGGUAAGCGGAAUAUGUCAUGUAGCGGUGAAAUGCUUAGAUAUGACAUAGAACACCAAUUGCGAAGGCAGCUUACUAUGGAUGCAUUGACACUGAGGCACGAAAGCGUGGGGAUCAAACAGGAUUAGAUACCCUGGUAGUCCACGCCCUAAACCGAUGGAUACUCGACAUUUGUGAUAUACAAUAAGUGUCUGAGCGAAAGCAUUAAGUAUCCCACCUGGAAGUACGACCGCAAGUUGAAACUCAAAUGAAUUGACCGGNGNGAGACGNGACGAGGACGACGACGAGGGAGGAG
rnacentral:rRNA from 1 species